UACGUAGGGUGCGAGCGUUAAUCGGAAUUACUGGGCGUAAAGCGUGCGCAGGCGGUUCGUUGUGUCGGUGGUGAAAGCCCCGGGCUUAACCUGGGAAUGGCCGUUGAAACUGGCGAACUGGAGUGUGGCAGAGGGGGGUGGAAUUCCGCGUGUAGCAGUGAAAUGCGUAGAGAUGCGGAGGAACACCGAUGGCGAAGGCAGCCCCCUGGGCUAACACUGACGCUCAGGCACGAAAGCGUGGGGAGCAAACAGG
rnacentral:rRNA from 1 species